rnacentral:rRNA from 1 species
GGACGGGUGAGUAAUGCCUGGGAAAUUGCCCUGAUGUGGGGGAUAACCAUUGGAAACGAUGGCUAAUACCGCAUAAUGUCUACGGACCAAAGAGGGGGACCUUCGGGCCUCUCGCUUCAGGAUAUGCCCAGGUGGGAUUAGCUAGUUGGUGAGGUAAUGGCUCACCAAGGCGACGAUCCCUAGCUGGUCUGAGAGGAUGAUCAGCCACACUGGAACUGAGACACGGUCCAGACUCCUACGGGAGGCAGCAGUGGGGAAUAUUGCACAAUGGGCGCAAGCCUGAUGCAGCCAUGCCGCGUGUAUGAAGAAGGCCUUCGGGUUGUAAAGUACUUUCAGUCGUGAGGAAGGCAUUAACGUUAAUAGCGUUNGUGUUUGACGUUAGCGACAGAAGAAGCACCGGCUAACUCCGUGCCAGCNNNCGCGGUAAUACGGAGGGUGCGAGCGUUAAUCGGAAUUACUGGGCGUANAGCGCAUGCAGGUGGUUUGUNNNNUCANAUGNGNNAGNCCCGGGGCUCNNCCUCGGAACCGCAUUUGAAACUGGCAGGCUAGAGUANUGUANAGGGGGGUAGAAUUUCAGGUGUA